AUUGAACGCUGGCGGCAGGCCUAACACAUGCAAGUCGAGCGAGUGGCGGACGGGUGAGUAAUGUAUGGGAAUCUGCCUGAUGGAGGGGGAUAACUACUGGAAACGGUAGCUAAUACCGCAUACCAUCGGAUGUACCCAGAUGGGAUUAGCUAGUAGGUGGGGUAACGGCUCACCUAGGCGACGAUCCCUAGCUGGUCUGAGAGGAUGACCAGCCACACUGGGACUGAGACACGGUCCAGACUCCUACGGGAGGAAGCAGUGGGGAAUAUUGCACAAUGGGCGCAAGCCUGAUGCAGCCAUGCCGCGUGUAUGAAGAAGGCCUUCGGGUUGUAAAGUACUUUCAGCGGGGAGGCGUUACCCGCAGAAGAAGCACCGGCUAACUCCGUGCCAGCAGCCGCGGUAAUUC
rnacentral:rRNA from 1 species